rnacentral:misc_RNA from 1 species
CUGGGCCUGGAAAUGAAGACGUGUCUCUCCACCUUAAGCUCCCUGCAUGGGAUAUUCUGGAAGCUGUUCCUUUUGUGCUUGAUGCUGCUCUCACCGGCUGUGCUCAUGGUAGAUUGUCACCACGUGAACUAGCUACAGGUCUCAAGGAUCUGGCCGAUUUUCUCCCAGCUUCUUUGGCAACAAUCGUAAGCUACUUUUCAGCUGAAGUGACACGGGGUAUCUGGAAGCUAGCUUCUAUGAAUGGAACUGAUUGG